rnacentral:rRNA from 1 species
UACGUAGGGGGCAAGCGUUGUCCGGAAUCAUUGGGCGUAAAGCGCGUGUAGGCGGCCUUGUAAGUCCGUUCUGAAAGUCCGGGGCUCAACCCCGGGAGGCGGAUGGAUACUGCAGGGCUCGAGUCCGGAAGAGGCAAGUGGAAUUCCCGGUGUAGCGGUGAAAUGCGCAGAUAUCGGGAGGAACACCAAUGGCGAAGGCAGCUUGCUGGGACGGUACUGACGCUGAGACGCGAAAGCUAGGGGAGCAAACGGG